UGGAGGACAGAGAAGGUGAGGCAGCUGCACGGUGCUGUCUUUUACUGGUUAUUGCCUCCAACAGUAAAAUGAUGCUUGAAACGCUGGCCUCCCUUUAACGUGUGGAAGGGACGCGCUGUGCUUUGCUUGCAGACAGUGU
rnacentral:snoRNA from 1 species